GUCUCCGGAUAACUGUGCUCCUGACAUCCUUCCUUAUGGUUUUGGGAACUGGUCUAAGAUGCAUACCUGUAUCAGACUUAAUGCUUAAAAGAAGAUUAAUUCAUGGAGGACAGAUGUUAAAUGGAUUGGCAGGUCCAACUGUAAUGAAUGCAGCACCAUUUCUCUCCACGACGUGGUUUUCUGCAGAUGAAAGGGCCACAGCCACAGCUAUUGCAUCAAUGCUCAGUUAUCUUGGGGGAGCAUGUGCAUUUUUAGUUGGACCACUUGUUGUUCCAGCUCCCAAUGGGACAUCACCUCUUCUCGCUGCAGAGAGCAGCAGGGCACAUAUUAAAGAUCGCAUAGAGGCUGUGUUAUAUGCAGAAUUUGGAGUUGUCUGCUUAAUAUUUUCUGCAACACUAGCUUAUUUCCCACCCCGACCUCCUCUUCCUCCCAGUGUUGCUGCAGCUAGCCAGCGGUUGAGUUACCGGAGAAGCGUCUGUAGAUUAUUAAGGUAAAUAUACUGAAAGUCAUUGGAUGGCUUUGACUGACACCUUCAAGAUAACUUCAGAUUUUUAAAAAAUAAUUUAAGAUAGUAAUUUUUCAGCAACCUAUUAAUUAGGUAGUAAUUGAUAAAAUAGUAAUUGAAUAUUUUAGAUUUCCUACCAGAAAUCUAUCUUGAAAAAUCACCAAAAACAAAAACCUCUGUAAUUUUUGCCUUCUCUAUAUAUCACCUAUACUAUUAUUUGCUUAAUGUUUUAAAAAUCAAAUAUUUUAUUUUUCUUAAAUAACUUGAUUUGUAUUUGAAAUUGUAUGAUAUAAAAAAUCCUAUAUCAUACAAUAGUGUCUGUGAAAUCAUGGAUUCUAUGUGUUAUACUUUUCCUAAUAUGCACAUUAUUUUAAUUUAUUAUGUAUUUGUUAAGGCAUAUUAAAAUAAGCAGGCAAUAGUCAAUACAAAGUGAAUAAAAUAAAUAAUAUUAUUCUCAUAUCAACUGAAAUCAUUUUAUGUACCAGCAGUAGGAUCAUACUUUAAGAAGCCUAAUAUAUUAUUUAUUUUUAUUGGUAUAACUUAAGUAUAGUUAGAUUAAACUCUAGUCUUGAGGGCUCAAAUGCCCAGUACUGAAUUUAAUUCUUGGGAUAUAUAAAACACCACUAUUGAUUAUGAUUUGCAAUUGGACCACUAUACUUUGUCAUUUGAAAUUUUUUCAUAGUUAGUUGUGAGGAGUUUUUAUUGAUUCUUCCAACA
rnacentral:lncRNA from 10 species